rnacentral:rRNA from 1 species
UACGUAGGGGGCAAGCGUUUGUCCGGAUUUAUUGGGGCGUAAAGAGCGUGUAGGCGGCUUGGUAGGUCCGCUGUGAAAACUCGAGGCUCAACCUCGAGAUGUCGGCGGAAACCACUUGGCUAGAGUCCGGAAGGGGCGAGUGGAAUUCCUGGUGUAGCGGUGAAAUGCGCAGAUAUCAGGAGGAACACCAAUGGCGAAGGCAGCUCGCUGGGACGGUACUGACGCUGAGGCGCGAAAGCGUGGGGGAGCAAACAGG